rnacentral:rRNA from 1 species
CAGCAGCCGCGGGAAUACGGAGGAUCCAAGCGUUAUCCGGAAUCAUUGGGUUUAAAGGGUCCGUAGGCGGUCUGGUAAGUCAGUGGUGAAAGCCCAUCGCUCAACGGUGGAACGGCCAUUGAUACUGCUGGACUUGAAUUAUUAGGAAGUAACUAGAAUAUGUAGUGUAGCGGUGAAAUGCUUAGAGAUUACAUGGAAUACCAAUUGCGAAGGCAGGUUACUACUAAUGGAUUGACGCUGAUGGACGAAAGCGUGGGUAGCGAACAGGAUUAGAUACCCCCGUAGUCCCUGUCUCUUAUAC